GGUGAACGCUGGCGGCGUGCCUAAGACAUGCAAGUCGAGCGGGCCGCGGGGUUUUACUCCGUGGUCAGCGGCGGACGGGUGAGUAACGCGUGGGUGACCUACCCGGAAGAGGGGGACAACCCGGGGAAACUCGGGCUAAUCCCCCAUGUGGACCCGCCCCUUGGGGUGUGUCCAAAGGGCUUUGCCCGCUUCCGGAUGGGCCCGCGUCCCAUCAGCUAGUUGGUGGGGUAAUGGCCCACCAAGGCGACGACGGGUAGCCGGCCUGAGAGGGUGGCCGGCCACAGGGGAACUGAGACACGGGCCCCACUCCUACGGGAGGCAGCAGUUAGGAAUCUUCCGCAAUGGGCGCAAGCCUGACGGAGCGACGCCGCUUGGAGGAAGAAGCCCUUCGGGGUGUAAACUCCUGAACCCGGGACGAAACCCCCGACGAGGGGACUGACGGUACCGGGGUAAUAGCGCCGGCCAACUCCGUG
rnacentral:rRNA from 1 species